AGAGCGAACGCUGGCGGCAGGCCUAACACAUGCAAGUCGAGCGCCCCGCAAGGGGAGCGGCAGACGGGAGAGUAACACGUGGGAACGUACCCUUCAGUUCGGAACAACCCAGGGAAACUUGGGCUAAUACCGAAUACGUCCGUAAGGAGAAAGAUUUAUCGCUGAAGGAUCGGCCCGCGUCUGAUUAGCUUGUUGGUGAGGUAAUGGCUCACCAAGGCUACGAUCAGUAGCUGGUCUGAGAGGAUGACCAGCAUCACUGGGACUGAGACACGGCCCAGACUCCUACGGGAGGCAGCAGUGGGGAAUAUUGGACAAUGGGCGCAAGCCUGAUCCAGCCAUGCCGCGUGGAUGAUGAAGGCCUUAGGGUUGUAAAGUCCUUUAACGGGAAGAUAAUGACGGUACCCGUAGAAUAAGCCCGGCUAACUUCGUGCCAGCAGCCGC
rnacentral:rRNA from 1 species